CCCCAUUACGUCCAAUAAUGUGCGUGUCUAACUCUAAAACUACCAGUCCUCUUUGGAGCAGAGUUUGAGAGACGAUGUCAAGCGGAGUGAGUGAAUCAGAUUUGAACGGAGAGAUAAUGGCGCUACAGAAGAACCUGGAGGGUUAUGUUGGCUUCGCAAAUCUCCCCAACCAAGUCUACAGAAAAUCAGUGAAGAGAGGCUUCGAGUUCACUCUCAUGGUUGUUGGUGAG